rnacentral:misc_RNA from 1 species
GAUGAAGAACGUAGCGAAAUGCGAUACGUAAUGUGAAUUGCAGAAUUCAGUGAAUCAUCGAGUCUUUGAACGCACAUUGCGCCCCCUGGUAUUCCGGGGGGCAUGCCUGUCCGAGCGUCAUUAUAACCCCUCAAGCUCAGCUUGGUGUUGGGGCCUGCCGCACGGGCAGCCCUUAAAAUCAGUGGCGGUGCCAUCUGGCUCUAAGCGUAGUAAUUCUUCUCGCUAUAGAGUCCCGGUGGAUGCUUGCCAUUAACCCCCAAUUUUCUAUGGUUGACCUCGGAUCAGGUAGGGAUACCCGCUGAACUUAAGCAUAUCAAUAAGCGGAGGA